GACGAACGCUGGCGGCGUGCUUAACACAUGCAAGUCGAACGGAAAGGCCCUGCUUUUGUGGGGUGCGCGAGUGGCGAACGGGUGAGUAACACGUGAGUAACCUGCCCUUGACUUUGGGAUAACUUCAGGAAACUGGGGCUAAUACCGCAGAGGAGCUCCUGCUGCAUGGUGGGGGUUGGAAAGUUUCGGCGGUUGGGGAUGGACUCGCGGCUUAUCAGCUUGUUGGUGGGGGAGUGGCUUACCAAGGCUUUGACGGGUAGCCGGCCUGAGAGGGUGAACGGCCACAAUGGGCCUGCGGUACGGCCCAGACUGCUACGGUGGGCAGCAGUGGGGAACCUUGCGCAAUGGGCGGACGCGUGGUGCAGCAACGUUGCGUGUGGGAUGACGGUCUUCGGGUUGUAAACGGCUUUAGCUUGUGACGUAGAGUGAGUGACGGUACUGGGUAAAGAAGCACCGGCUAACUACGUG
rnacentral:rRNA from 1 species